CGCGGCCACGGGAAGAACAUGCAGACUCCAAAUAUACAAGCAUCAGCGGCAGGAUCGAACCCACGACCACCUGUACACCGGGUGAUGAAGAUAAAAUAUGUGUAAUGACAAUAGAGCCUGCAUGUGGUGUGAUGUGACUAUUGGCCACGGGAGGUAAUGACAGGGGUAUCAGUUGUGAGUGAAGAGACUGGUGGCUUCGGGAAUGUUCGAGAAGGGGAGCGUGGUCAGGUGACGGAAGAGGAUGGUGGAGUCUGCUGGUAGAGUGCGCGUUCAGAGUCAGCGAGAAUGAUCGAGAAAGGGGGCGUGGACUCGUGCUGAUAUAUAAUGGAGAUGCACGGGGGACUGGUGGCUACGGGAGGUAACGACAGCGGGAGUCAGCUGAGAGUGUGAAGGGACUGGUGGCUAUGGGAGGUAAUGACAGGGGAGUCAGCUGUGAGUGAGAAGGGACUGGUGGCUAUGGGAGGUAAUGACAGGGGAGUCAGUUGUGAGUGUGAAGGGACUGGUGGCUAUGGGAAUGAUCGA